rnacentral:rRNA from 1 species
UGGAGGAAAGCAGGGGAUCGCAAGACCUUGCGCUUUUGGAGUGGCCGAUGCCUGAUUAGCUAGUUGGUGGGGUAAUGGCCUACCAAGGCGACGAUCAGUAGUUGGUCUGAGAGGACGACCAGCCACACUGGGACUGAGACACGGCCCAGACUCCUACGGGAGGCGGCAGUGGGGAAUUUUGGACAAUGGGCAAAAGCCUGAUCCAGCAAUGCCGCGUGAGUGAAGAAGGCCUUCGGGUUGUAAAGCUCUUUCAGUCGAGAAGAAAAGGUUGUGACUAAUAAUCACAACUCAUGACGGUAUCGACAGAAGAAGCACCGGCUAACUACGUGCCAGCAGCCGCGGUAAUACGUAGGGUGCGAGCGUUAAUCGGAAUUACUGGGCGUAAAGGGUGCGCAGGCGGCUUUGUAAGUCAGAUGUGA